GAUCAUGGCUCAGGAUGAACGCUAGCUACAGGUUUAACACAUGCAAGUCGAGGGGCAGCAUGGUCUUAGCUUGCUAAGGCCGAUGGCGACCGGCGCACGGGUGAGUAACGCGUAUCCAACCUGCCUUACACUCUUGGACAGCCUUCUGGAAGGGAGAUUAAUACAAGAUGUUAUCAUGAGUAAGCAUUUUCGCAUGAUUAAAGGUUUACCGGUGUAAGAUGGGGAUGCGUU
rnacentral:rRNA from 1 species